CUUUGUUUAGUGCAUUUGGUGUUUUGAUUAUUAUGUGACGGGAGACAUUUCUUUUUUGUUCCAGUCUAUUUGGAGUUCUGUAUGGUUCUUGUAUGUUUAUGGACAUCUCUUUCUUUAGGUUAGGGAAGUUUUCUUCUAUAAUUUUUUGAAGAUAUUUACUGGCCCUUUAAGUUGGGAAUCUUCUCUCUCUUAUACCUAUUAUCCUUAGGUCUUCUCAUUGUGUCCUGGAUUUCCUGGAUGUUUUGGGUUAGGAGCUUUUUGCAUUUUCUUUGACUUUGCAUUUGCAUUCCUUUUGUCAAUGUUUUCUAUGGUAUCUUCUGCACCUGAGGUUCUCUUUUCUGUCUCUUGUAUUUUGUUGUUGAUGCUUGCAUCUAUGACUCUUGAUCUCUUUCCUAGGUUUUCUAAUUCCAGGGCUGUCUUUCUUUGUGAUUUCUUUAUUGUUUCUAUUUCAAUUUUUAGAUCCUGGGUAAUUUUGUUUCUUUUUUUUCACCUGUUUAAUUGUAUUUUCCACUAAUUCUUUAUGUGAUUUUUGUGUUUCCUCUUUAACAGCUUCUAGCUGUUUACCUGUGUUCUCCUGUAUUUCUCUAAGGGAGUUAUUUAUGUCCUUCUUAAAGCCCUCUAUCAUCAUCUUGAAAAGUGAUUUUAGAUUUGUAUCUUGCUUUUCUGAUGUGAUGGUGUAUUCAGGACUUUCUUUGGUCGGAGACUUGGGUUCUGGUGAUGUCAAGUAACCUUGGUUUCUAUUGUUUAUGUUCUUGCUCUUGCCUCAGGCCAUCUGGUUAUCUCUAGUGCUACCUGCCCAUGCUACAUCUGACUGGAGCCUGCCCUUCCUGUGAUCCUUGUCUUGUCAGAGCGCCUCAGAAUCCAACUCUUUCUGUGAUUCUGUGAUCCUGUGAUCCUACGAUCCUGGGCAUGUUAGAGUGCCUGGGAGUUGAUCUUCCUAUGGGUGUUAUGGUGCGAGCUGUGGGGUUCUUGUCCAAACUCUGUUCAGAGAACCUGCUCAGACCUGAAGGAACCCUUGCCAGUGUGGGCGUAGUCCUGCUGGUCCCAGUUACUCCUGGUGUUGGGAGAUAUGUUGUGUCCUCCUUACCUCUGAUUCUGGGUGUAUUAGAACCCCGGGAGUGGAGCUUCCUCUGGGUGUUGUGGGACUGGAUGUGAGUUUACGCCCAAGGUCUGCUCCCUGUUUUACAAGUUAUUGUGAAGAUUGAAAAAAGCUUCCAGGACUGUGUCUGGAAUCUAGUAACACGUCCAUAUUGAUAAUGGCCAAUAUUUUACUCUGUGAUGAAAUAUGACAGUUUUUGUUAACAAUUAGUAUAGCAUAUUUUUAGAAAUGAUUAAUCUUAGCUUUCUUCUUAGAAUACUAAAUGCAAACUAUUUUGUAGGCUAUGCAAUGUUCUUUUGUAUUUUAUUUGAAACCUGGUCUUCCCAGGCCAGUGUUCAUUAUUGUAGGUCCUUGAGAAGACUGCUUCAUUUUUUUUUAUUGUCUCCUUUUUCAUUUUUUGUUUUUAGGCUUUUUCAGUGAACACUUGUUGAUUCUUCUUCCUCCUCUUUCUUGCAUUUUCAGUAAGAUUCUUUGAAUUUAAAGGACCUUUAAAGGUGCUGUUAAUUAGCUGCAUUAUUUAACAGGAAGACACAACGGUUCAAAUAAAUGAAUGACUUGCUUUUUGAUGUUAAAACAAUUUAGUAGUAGCAGGAGACUGAAGUCUAGGAUUUCUGAUGCGCGCUCUCUCUCUCUUGUUUUCUCUCUCUUUCUUUUUUUUUUUUUUUUCUUUUUUGGUAUUUCUGUACUGAUUUGUCUUCUGAAAGAAAUAGGAGAAAUUUCUGGGGUUCAUUUGGUGGUUUUUUGUUUAUUACAGCAUAACUUGUUAGAACUAGGAAAUUAAAAUGUAAUUUUAGACUUAUUAAAAAAAAAGGUUUGGGAUAUAGUUAUAUAUUAAGUGUGUUAUACCACUGAGUUUAUGGGUUAGAACCAUGCUUAUUCAUGUUUUUUGAUCAUACUACAUUUUACAGUUUUCGUGAAUGAUAAAUAUUCAUUAAAAACAUGUUAGUUGAAUCUGAGGAUGCUGCUGUAAAUUGUUUUGUUUUCUUUACAGUAUUAAAUUUGAUUCCUAAAGUUAGAUUGAAUUUGUUGGAAUUCCUGUUAGGUUCCCUUCACACACACCACAGAUUAUUUUUGUUUUUCUGUAUUUCUUUUGGGACUGGACCUUAGUGGCAGUUGAGGGCAUUUUCAUGAGGCUCAGUUGUUAUUUUAUUAAUCUCAUUCAUGCUUCUCUGGAUUCAUUGAUCUAAUUAUGUAGCUGUACAUUAAUGAAGACAUUAAUUGCUGGGACAUCUUCACUUAUCAUCAUGCUAACUGAAGAUCUGGGCUAAGUUCCUUGAGUGCUUAUUCUAUAUAAUGUACAUAUAUAAUU
rnacentral:lncRNA from 1 species